GAUGAACGCUAGCGGCAGGCUUAACACAUGCAAGUCGAGGGGCAGCGCGGGUAGCAAUACCUGGCGGCGACCGGCAAACGGGUGCGGAACACGUACAGAACCUACCUUUGUCUGGGGCAUAGCCCGGAGAAAUCCGGAUUAACUCCCCAUAAUAUAUUUGAGUGGCAUCACUUGGAUAUUAAAAAUUUAUUGGACAGAGAUGGCUGUGCGUCCCAUUAGCUAGUUGGUAGGGUAACGGCCUACCAAGGCAACGAUGGGUAGCUGGUGUGAGAGCACGACCAGCCACACGGGCACUGAGACACGGGCCCGACUCCUACGGGAGGCAGCAGUGAGGAAUAUUGGUCAAUGGACGCAAGUCUGAACCAGCCAUGCCGCGUGAAGGAUGAAGGCCUUCUGGGUUGUAAACUUCUUUUACCUGGGAAGAAAACUACGAUUUCUAUCGUAGCCGACGGUACCAGAGGAAUAAGCACCGGCUAACUCCGUGCCAGCAGCCGCGGUAAAACGU
rnacentral:rRNA from 1 species